GGGGAAUAUUGCACAAUGGGCGAAAGCCUGAUGCAGCGACGCCACGUGAGCGAAGAAGUAUUUCGGUAUGUAAAGCUCUAUCAGCAGGGAAGAUAAUGACGGUACCUGACUAAGAAGCACCGGCUAAAUACGUGCCAGCAGCCGCGGUAAUACGUAUGGUGCAAGCGUUAUCCGGAUUUACUGGGUGUAAAGGGAGCGCAGGCGGGAAGACAAGUUGGAAGUGAAAUCUAUGGGCUCAACCCAUAAACUGCUUUCAAAACUGUUUUUCUUGAGUAGUGCAGAGGUAGGCGGAAUUCCCGGUGUAGCGGUGGAAUGCGUAGAUAUCGGGAGGAACACCAGUGGCGAAGGCGGCCUACUGGGCACCAACUGACGCUGAGGCUCGAAAGUGUGGGUAGCAAACAGGAUUAGAUACCCUGGUAGUCCACACCGUAAACGAUGAUUACUAGGUGUUGGAGGAUUGACCCCUUCAGUGCCGCAGUUAACACAAUAAGUAAUCCACCUGGGGAGUACGACCGCAAGGUUGAAACUCAAAGGAAUUGACGGGGGCCCGCACAAGCAGUGGAGUAUGUGGUUUAAUUCGACGCAACGCGAAGAACCUUACCAAGUCUUGACAUCCCUUGACGAACAUAGAAAUAUGUUUUCUCUUCGGAGCAAGGAGACAGGUGGUGCAUGGUUGUCGUCAGCUCGUGUCGUGAGAUGUUGGGUUAAGUCCCGCAACAAGCGCAACCCUUACUGUCAGUUACUACGCAAGAGGACUCUGGCAGGACUGCCGUUGACAAAACGGAGGAAGGUGGGGAUGACGUCAAAUCAUCAUGCCCUUUAUGACUUGGGCUACACACGUACUACAAUGGCUGUAAACAGAGGGAAGCAAAGCCGCGAGGUGGAGCAAAACCCUAAAAGCAGUCCCAGUUCGGAUCGCAGGCUGCAACCCGCCUGCGUGAAGUCGGAAUUGCUAGUAAUCGCGGAUCAGCAUGCCGCGGUGAAUACGUUCCCG
rnacentral:rRNA from 1 species